AUUGAACGCUGGCGGCAGGCUUAACACAUGCAAGUCGAGCGGGGGGAGGUAGCUUGCUACCGGACCUAGCGGCGGACGGGUGAGUAAUGCUUAGGAAUCUGCCUAUUAGUGGGGGACAACAUCUCGAAAGGGAUGCUAAUACCGCAUACGUCCUACGGGAGAAAGCAGGGGAUCUUCGGACCUUGCGCUACUAGAUGAGCCUAAGUCGGAUUAGCUAGUUGGUGGGGUAAAGGCCUACCAAGGCGACGAUCUGUAGCGGGUCUGAGAGGAUGAUCCGCCAGACAGGGACUGAGAGACGGCCCAGACUCCUACGGGAGGCAGAAGUGGGGAAUAUUGGACAAUGGGGGGAACCCUGAUCCAGCCAUGCCGCGUGGGUGAAGAAGGCCUUAUGGUUGUAAAGCAAUUUAAGCGAGGAGGAGGCUACUUUAGUUAAUACCUAGAGAUAGUGGACGUUACUCGCAGAAUAAGCACCGGCUAACUCUGUGCCAGCAGCCGCCGUAA
rnacentral:rRNA from 1 species